AGUAACACGUAACCAACCUACCCCAUAGAUUGGAAUAACCUCCGGAAACGGUGGGUAAUGCCGAAUGGCCCCAAUAGAAGGCAUCUUCAGUUGGGUAAACGGUGGCUUCGGCUGCUGCUGUGGGAGGGGGUUGCGGGCUAUCAGCUUGUUGGUGAGGUAAUGGCUCACCAAGGCGAUGACGGCUAGCCGGUCUGAGAGGAUGGUCGGUCACACUGGGACUGAGACACUGCCCAG
rnacentral:rRNA from 1 species